CGCUAUCAUCAUUAACUUUAUUUAUUACCUUCAUUCAGCAAUGAAUGUCCGUUUCAAAUCAUUUCCACCGGGUGCUCUGCAUCCGGUUUUUUUU
rnacentral:other from 2 species